UGUAAAUUUUAUUAUGGUUUACUGGCCUGUAUUUACAUCAUUGUGCACAUAUCACAGUACUUUAAUGUGUAUGGUUUAUGUUGAUAUCUGCUUGGGCAAGUUCUAGUUUUAGUGUUUUGUUUAUUUUUUCAUGGUUGCUUUGACCAUUUAUAUACACCUUCUGUUCAAUAUGAAGCUUACUCUCAGCUUUACAAAUUUUCUUUGAGGUUCUUGAUUGAGAUUAUUGAUAUCUUAUUGAAUUUAUAUAUUGAUUUGUGGAUAUAUAACAUCCUUAUUGAACUUUCCCAUCAGAAAUUAAUCUACUUAUGUUUCUUUUUAAACUUUUUUUAUCAUUUUGUUACUUAUUUCUCACUCUACAUAUUUAUAUUUCUUGUAAGGUUUAUGCAUGUUUCAUAAAUUUUAUUUCUUUUUGCACAGUUUGUUAAUGGGAUCUUCUUUUCAAGGAGUGUGUAGGAGAUGGUGGAUUUUCAAGGAAUAUAAAUUAGAUCAUCUGCAAGUAAUGAGAACUAUUUUCUUAUUUGCUAUUAUUUUUACACAUGGGAGAGUAGAUACAUGUGUUAAAUUGACCAUUUUCUUCACUGACUUAGAAAAUAAAAAAUUCCAGAUACAGAUC